rnacentral:misc_RNA from 1 species
GAUGAAGAACGUAGCGAAAUGCGAUAAGUAGUGUGAAUUGCAGAAUUCAGUGAAUCAUCGAAUCUUUGAACGCAUAUUGCGCUCUCUGGUAUUCCGGAGAGCAUGCUUGUUUGAGUAUCAGUAAACACCUCAACUCCCUUUUCUUUUUUGAAAUUGGAGCUGGACUUGAGUGAUCCCAACGCUUUCUUCCAAGAAAGUGGCGGGUUGCUUGAAAUGCAGGUGCAGCUGAACUUUUCUCUGAGCUAUAAGCAUAUCUAUUUAGUCUGCCUAAAAAACAGAUUAUUACCUUUGCUGCAGCUAACAUAAAGGAGACUAGUUCUUGUGCUGACUGAUGCAGGAUUCACAGAGACAGCUUCGGCUGACUUUGUAAACUCGAUCUCAAAUCAAGUAAGACUACCCGCUGAACUUAAGCAUAUCAAUAAGCGGAGGA